AAAUAUCCAAUGGCGUGCCAGCGGUUGCGGUUAUACGAUUACUUCCAGAAAUUAUAGGUAAAAGAAAAUUUUCAUUAUUUUAUGUAUAAAUUAAGAGUGAAAUCUUUUUUUUUAUUAAAUUAUUUAGUUUUUCUUUUUAAAACCAAAAAAGAAUAGGAUUAGAUACCCUAAUAUAAAAUCUUAAAAAGUAUUAAAUGAUACACACGAAACUUAAUUUUUUUGGCGGUUUGACUUCUUAUCAGAGGGGCUUGUUCACUAAUCGAUAGUCCCCGUUUAAUUUUUCUGAAAGUCUUAUUUUAUAUACCUCCGUAAAAGACGAAUUUUAAAUAUUUCUUCUUUUAAUAUUAAUUAAUCAACUCAGGUCAAGGUUUAAAUUAUCUUUAAGAUUGAAUUAGCCAUUAAUUUUCAUUGUUCUCUAAAAACAAAUUUUAGGAUUUGCUUGUAAGAAAAAAGUAAAUAUUUUUACUGAACUAGUAAAGUCAAAUGUACAAAUCGCCCGUCACUCUUGAAAAAGAUAAGUCGUAACAAAGUAGAAGUAUCGGAAGAUGCUUCUUG
rnacentral:rRNA from 1 species